AACGAACGCUGGCGGCAUGCCUAACACAUGCAAGUCGAACGAGACCUUCGGGUCUAGUGGCGCACGGGUGCGUAACGCGUGGGAACCUGCCCUUAGGUUCGGAAUAACUCCCCGAAAGGGGUGCUAAUACCGGAUAAUGUCUUCGGACCAAAGAUUUAUCGCCUUUGGAUGGGCCCGCGUUGGAUUAGCUAGUUGGUAGGGUAAAAGCCUACCAAGGCGACGAUCCAUAGCUGGUCUGAGAGGAGGAUCAGCCACACUGGGACUGAGACACGGCCCAGACUCCUACGGGAGGCAGCAGUAGGGAAUAUUGGACAAUGGGCGAAAGCCUGAUCCAGCAAUGCCGCGUGAGUGAUGAAGGCCUUAGGGUUGUAAAGCUCUUUUACCCGGGAUGAUAAUGACAGUACCGGGAGAAUAAGCUCCGGCUAACUCCGUG
rnacentral:rRNA from 1 species